GUUUGAACUUGGAACCCUCUCAUUCCAUGACCCUUCCUUCUUAGAGGGAAAAAAAAAAGUAGAGGGAGAAAAUAGAAGAACGCCUAGAAUCACUUAAGUCAAUUACAGUCUUUGAAAUAUUAUAAUCACUCCAUCUACCCUCUUCAUUCUCUUAUGCCAUCAAUGCAUCUUGUGUCAUGCAGGUUGCUCUAUUCCUUUCCAUUUACUACAAAAUUUGGAAACAUUUUAAGUUUCUAACCACUUAUAAUUGUUUCUUUCCUUCUUGCUUCUCAUGAAGUUGAGGUCGAUAUAGACUUACAUUUUGUCGGAGUUGAUGAUCUCCGUUCAGGUCAAAAAAGACUGUACCUCUUUAAACGGAGGACAAUUCUUUUUUACUUGAUCCGAAAUCAUUGACUCAGACAAGACGAGAGUCUAUAUCUACAUCGACAUCAUGACAAUAAGAUCCAAUUGCAAAGACAUCUUCUAAUCCCUCUUCGUGAUCUCAAGCCGAAUUCUCGACAACACAAUUGGCAACUCAUUGGCCAGCGACAGACUUUUAAAUGGAACUUCGAUCCGCGACGGAUUAGUCUUUGACCUGUCGGGCGAUAUCGUGGGCAACAAAAAAAAAAUUUGAUAAUCAAGUUUUAUGCCUUUAAGAUUUUGUGUUAGCUACUAGCUAGGGUUUGGUUUGAUGCCACAAGUUUUUAGCCAUGUAAUUGUGAUAACCUAAAUUUGUGAAUGGCUAAUAAUUUUUCAUCAUUUUAACCUAACUUUGAUUGGGAUGCAUGGGUAUUUUAGGUUAACUAAAAAAAAUAAUUGCAGAUAAAUUAUUAUUAUUAUUAUUGCAUGUUGAUAAAUUACUGUAAUAAUGUAUGCACCGAAAUGUUUAUAAUUAUUAUUUUCA